rnacentral:rRNA from 1 species
AUGAGUAUCAUGUACUGGAAUUGUCGUGGGGCGGGCAACUCCGUGACAAUUCGAGAGCUUCGUGAACUCACAAAGCGUUUUGCCCCGACAAUUUUAUGUAUUCUUGAGACGCAGAUUGAUGCUGUUAGGGUUGAAAAUCUUAAUGUUUCUUUAGGCUACAAUAAAAGUUUUGCAGUGAGUAGUUCAGGGAGGAGUGGUGGUCUGGGUGUUUUCUGGAAUGAUUCACUAAAAAUGCAAGUUAUUGGUUAA